rnacentral:rRNA from 1 species
AGAGUUUGAUCCUGGCUCAGAACGAACGCUGGCGGCAUGCCUAACACAUGCAAGUCGAACGAAGGCUUCGGCCUUAGUGGCGCACGGGUGCGUAACACGUGGGAAUCUGCCCUUUGCUUCGGAAUAACAGUUAGAAAUGACUGCUAAUACCGGAUGAUGUCGUAAGACCAAAGAUUUAUCGGCAAAGGAUGAGCCCGCGUAGGAUUAGCUAGUUGGUGGGGUAAAGGCUCACCAAGGCGACGAUCCUUAGCUGGUCUGAGAGGAUGAUCAGCCACACUGGGACUGAGACACGGCCCAGACUCCUACGGGAGGCAGCAGUGGGGAAUAUUGGACAAUGGGCGAAAGCCUGAUCCAGCAAUGCCGCGUGAGUGAUGAAGGCCUUAGGGUUGUAAAGCUCUUUUACCAGGGAUGAUAAUGACAGUACCUGGAGAAUAAGCUCCGGCUAACUCCGUGCCAGCAGCCGCGGUAAUACGGAGGGAGCUAGCGUUGUUCGGAAUUACUGGGCGUAAAGCGCACGUAGGCGGCUACUCAAGUCAGAGGUGAAAGCCCGGGGCUCAACCCCGGAACUGCCUUUGAAACUAGGUAGCUAGAAUCUUGGAGAGGUCAGUGGAAUUCCGAGUGUAGAGGUGAAAUUCGUAGAUAUUCGGAAGAACACCAGUGGCGAAGGCGACUGACUGGACAAGUAUUGACGCUGAGGUGCGAAAGC